rnacentral:lncRNA from 1 species
AGACCGAGGCAGGGGAGAUGAUGGAGACACCGCUGGGCAUGUCCGACACCUUUUGGACGGGACUCAAGGCAUACUGGGAUCAAGAUGAGGUUAAGGCUGUUUCUAGGCGCGCACGUGAGAACCGAUACUCUGAGCCCGAUGGAGUUGGUACAGGGAUCAGUCGGCACGUUGGAGGGUCUCAGUCGAGUCGUAUUCUGCAGCAGAGUCUGGUUAGUAAUUAUCGAUUAAGUAUUUAUCUAAUAAAUACAUAUAUAUUAUCUAAUAUAUAUAUAUAUAUAUAUAUUACCUUAUUUUUCUUAUAUAAAUGCAUGAACAGCUCGUGGAUGGUGAAGUCCCCCCAACUGCAUCUAACUACAGCACUUUCCUCCGC